rnacentral:rRNA from 1 species
GACGAACGCUGGCGGCGUGCUUAACACAUGCAAGUCGAACGGAAAGGCCCUGCUUUUGUGGGGUGCUCGAGUGGCGAACGGGUGAGUAACACGUGAGUAACCUGCCCUUGACUUUGGGAUAACUUCAGGAAACUGGGGCUAAUACCGGAUAGGAGCUCCUGCUGCAUGGUGGGGGUUGGAAAGUUUCGGCGGUUGGGGAUGGACUCGCGGCUUAUCAGCUUGUUGGUGGGGUAGUGGCUUACCAAGGCUUUGACGGGUAGCCGGCCUGGGAGGGUGAGCGGCCACAUUGGGACUGAGAUACGGCCCAGACUCCUACGGGAGGCAGCAGUGGAGAAUAUUGCACAAUGGGCGGAAGCCUGAUGCAGCAACGCCGCGUGCGGGAUGACGGCCUUCGGGUUGUAAACCGCUUUCGCCUGUGACGAAGCGUUAGUGACGGUAAUAGGUAAAGAAGCACCGGCUAACUACGUG